UGUGACCACUGAUUUGUGAGUUUUUUCCCAAACCAUCAGUGAAUACUGUCAUUUCUUCCACUGGUUCCUGGCUUCUUUUUUGUUUUUUCCCUGAAACUCACUUUUACAUUCAACAUUUUGUGUGUUGGAAAACGAACUGUGCGAACUUCUGAAUGCCCUAACAACAUGAUUGAAAAAUCUUGCGACUUUGGAUUGUCCACUCAAAAUAUUUCUUCUUUAAAUGUAAAUGAAUGAUUAAGAAAUCUUUGCCUGACAUUGUCAGCAAUCUGGUCUCUGCCACAAUAAUGAUCUGAGCUCCCAUCUCUAAAUCUGUAAGAAUUGUUUUUGAGGGUCUGCAAACUAAAAAACCCCACUUUCAACUUCUGUGGAAACAUUAACAAAAUCCUUGCUCAAAGCUACUUAUUUGAACGAUUUUUUUUUUUUCUUUCAAUUUUAUCUGUCCAGUGUCUAGCACUCUCCUCAUAUUUUUCUGAAUGAUCAGCAAAAUCAAGUCUACAAAAUAAUUAUAUCAAGAGAUUAAAACAUACAAAAUCUUCAACCUCAUUUCAGCCUUAUUUCAGGCACUUCUUCACUCCUUUUCUUUUUUUUCUUUUUUCUCUCGUUCUCUUCUUCUCUUUUGAAACAAGAAAGUUGAAAUGUAAACCAUAAUAUAGAACAAGACAAAAUAUCUCAAUAAUAAAAUGCAUAAAACUUAUCAAAAUCGAUAACAAUUCAAGAAAAUUCAAAAGAAAGAUAUUCUAAAUAGCAUAUAUAAAAAUGAACAAAGCACGAUCACUAGAAACAUUGUGACAGCAGUUCAGAGUCUGCAAACAGCUGAAACAUUUGUUUUCAGUGAAAACCCUUGGUAUCCUUUCCCGGGCAAGGCUGGCAAGUUUCACCUCAAAGCUGUGUCAGCUGUAACAUUUGUAGAAUCAAAUUGAUGGGUCAAAAAUGACCUGCAUAUCAUUCAUUUUUGUGCAGAAACCUCUGAAUUUUGCUGGCAAACUCAUCUGUCCAAGUUAAAAUCAGGGUCUGGCCAGGACCCAAACUUUAAACUGGAGAGAUGUCCCUUAACAUAUUAUAUAAAACAAAACUUAUACCAACAAUACAUAUAUCAUACUUAAAACAUAACAACCUAUUAUAACAUUUUCUUAUAAAAUAAACACUUGAAGUUCAAACCGAUAAACUGGUCAAAUGACACAAAGAUUCAUUUUUCUUGAAACUCUUUUGAAGGAAAAGGAUGCCAAUUGAAGAAAUCGUAAGAUUAACAAUGGCAAGAGGUUGUCAGAAUGCUUCAGGCACCUCUCUCUGAGAUCUUCUGAAAAACAUUUGAGAAUGAUGAAAAAUAGAAAUGCAAUGAUUCCACUCACAAGAGAUAUAAAAACGAAUCAGGAAGUUCACCUAGA
rnacentral:lncRNA from 1 species